CUUGGGUCUGAAGAGCGUUUUCCCACAUGACCCUGGCCGAAGAGGCAAUUUAGCUAGGUUGUCUCUGUUACUGAAACGUCUCGAAGGCAUUUGUUUCAACCCUUCUGAUCUAAGUAUACACCUGCGUAUUUCUACACUGAAAAAUAGAACCCGGGCUAGGACUAUCGAUUUUGUGAAAGAGCUCAAAACAUUAAAAGGUGCAGCCCACGCACCCAUGAGGCACUGACACUCAGAGAUGCACUCAAGCCAGGAUCACAUGCAAUAGUGAGGACUGGACACAUGGCUGGUUGGAAUUGGGAUGUGCUGUGUUUGCCACUGGAAUAACUUGGAGUCAGCCAGCCGUGUAUGCUACUUUCUGCCAAAGACUUUUGGGCCAUGGGGUUUCUUCACUACAAAAUACACUGCCGAAAGAUAACAGCAACAGAAGUCAUGUCAUGAAGCCGAGGAUCACUGGGGGAAAUGCGAAUCCACAGGCCUUCAGAUCUGAGGCAGCAUUCUCAAAUGCUGAAGUCAUCUCCUAUCCACCCGAGGCCCUCAGAUCUGCACAUCGAUGUAUGAAAUUGGAGGCUAAUAUGCAGAAUGAGUCCUUCCUAUCCCAGAGCAAUUGUGCUUAGUCUGUAUGGCUUGGGUGGAGUUUCCUUCCACCUCCCAUCCCACAAGAAAAGUCACGUGGCCUGGCCUUCAUCAGUUCCAGCAGGUAUUCCAAGAUUCUUUGCAGUGAUUGGCUCAGAGAUAUGUAGCAAUUGUUGACAUUUGGAGUUUCUUGACUCUCUUUGAUUGCAACUUUCUGUGCCCUGUUGCAAUAAAAUUCAGUUAAUACAGUAAUUAGUAUUCUGU
rnacentral:lncRNA from 1 species